AUCACAGAAACCCCACCUGAUGUGGUGGAAGUUGUCGAACCAGAUCAGAAAGCUUUCGAGGACCACCUUCAGGCACAGGCUGAGAAGGAUGUGGUGGUUUUUGGCCAGGUCGGACUGAACAUCGACAAAGUGCAGGAAAAACAGAAGGAGAGCAAACUGGAGGAGAUUCAAGAAGGGGACCAAGUGCUUCGACAUCCGGGUAAAUUACUUGGUUUGGUAGAAGGACGAAAGGAAGGCGAGAGCUGGGAAACCUCGCUGCUCUUUCACUCCUAGCUGGGGUCACCAUCUGUUAAGGGUUAACUCGGCGGAAGCCAGCAAUCUUCUCCAGUUGGAGUGGAUAGACGGUCCACCACUGAAAGCCCUGACGCCCUACACUUCGGCGAAGCCCAUGAGACAAAAUAUGUUAAGCUUUGUCACACCUUAAUUUACCUCUCCAAAUGACUUUAGGGCAAUCAAUUAUCAAUACCCAGGAGGUAUCUCAACCAACAGAGCCAUUUAGUUUGUAUCAGUCUGAUUCUCUGUGCUCUGAGUAGGCGGGGUAACCAGCUUGAGGUAGGAUAUACCUUCAAAAAGGGUUAAAGAUUACACAUCUUCUAUUUGUAACACUGCACUAAUUCAUCACAUUAAAUGUAACCUGUGCGUUUGCUUGUUUGUGUCUCUGUCUCCCACUCUGUUCCUUUUACUCUGCUCCUGUUCUCCAGGACCUAGGGGUUCUGCCUAACACCCAGACGUGGAUCCACCUGAUAUGCUUCAUUAUCAACCACCCUACAACUUUUCAUUACAUCUACAGCUACCGUUGUCAUUACCUGCCAAGAAAGUUUUCUUGCUCCAUCAUACUGGGCACAUAAUAUGUGAGUUACACAGAUUAACUCAAAACACUAGCACUGCAAACACUCAGUGCCUGGACUUUGUAGUCUCCCUCUUCAAGUCCCCCUUCUGAGACUGGAUGCCUGUUGAGAACAAGUGACAGGCAGAACCUCCCACCCACACAGCACCCACCUCCUAUCUAUUCCACACACCAGAAUUCACUAUUUCAGUCUAUGACUGCCAUGUGAG